CUACGGGCCGCAGCAGUGAGGAAUAUUGCACAAUGGGGGGAACCCUGAUGCAGCAACGCCGCGUGGAGGAUGACGCAUUUCGGUGUGUAAACUCCUUUUAUAUGUCAAGAAAAUGACGGUAGCAUAUGAAUAAGCACCGGCUAACUCCGUGCCAGCAGCCGCGGUAAUACGGGGGGUGCAAGCGUUACUCGGAAUCACUGGGCGUAAAGGACGUGUAGGCGGGUUGGAAAGUCAGGUGUGAAAUCCUACAGCUUAACUGUAGAACUGCACUUGAAACUUCUAAUCUAGAGUAUGGGAGGGGGAGAUGGAAUUAGUGGUGUAGGGGUAAAAUCCGUAGAUAUCACUAGGAAUACCUAAAGCGAAGGCGAUCUCCUGGAACAUUACUGACGCUAAGGCGUGAAAGCGUGGGGAGCAAACAGGAUUAGAUACCCGUGUAGUC
rnacentral:rRNA from 1 species